AGAGUUUGAUCCUGGCUCAGGAUGAACGCUGGCGGCGUGCUUAACACAUGCAAGUCGAACGAACCUUCGGGUUAGUGGCGGACGGGUGAGUAACGCGUGAGAAUCUGCCCUCAGGAGGGGGAUAACAGUUGGAAACGACUGCUAAUACCCCAUAUGCCGAGAGGUGAAAUGAAUUUCGCCUGGGGAUGAGCUCGCGUCUGAUUAGCUUGUUGGUGGGGUAAUAGCCUACCAAGGCUUCGAUCAGUAGCUGGUCUGAGAGGACGAUCAGCCACACUGGGACUGAGACACGGCCCAGACUCCUACGGGAGGCAGCAGUGGGGAAUUUUCCGCAAUGGGCGAAAGCCUGACGGAGCAACGCCGCGUGAGGGAUGGAGGCCUUUGGGCUGUAAACCUCUUUUCUCAAGGAAGAAGAUCUGACGGCACUUGAGGAAUAAGCCACGGCUAAUUCCGUGCCAGCAGCCGCGGUAAUACGGGAGUGGCAAGCGUUAUCCGGAAUUAUUGGGCGUAAAGCGUCCGCAGGCGGCCGUUUAAGUCUGUUGUUAAAUCGUGGAGCUCAACUCCAUCACGGCAAUGGAAACUGUUCGGCUUGAGUAUGGUAGGGGCAGAGGGAAUUUCCGGUGUAGCGGUGAAAUGCGUAGAUAUCGGGAAGAACACCAGUGGCGAAAGCGCUCUGCUGGGCCAUUACUGACGCUCAUGGACGAAAGCCAGGGGAGCGAAAGGGAUUAGAUACCCCUGUAGUCCUGGCCGUAAACGAUGAACACUAGAUGUUGGGGGAAUCGACCCCCUCGGUGUCGUAGCUAACGCGUUAAGUGUUCCGCCUGGGGAGUACGCACGCAAGUGUGAAACUCAAAGGAAUUGACGGGGGCCCGCACAAGCGGUGGAGUAUGUGGUUUAAUUCGAUGCAACGCGAAGAACCUUACCAAGGCUUGACAUCCUGCGAAUCUCUAAGAAAUUAGAGAGUGCCUUCGGGAACGCAGUGACAGGUGGUGCAUGGCUGUCGUCAGCUCGUGUCGUGAGAUGUUGGGUUAAGUCCCGCAACGAGCGCAACCCACGUUUUUAGUUGCCAGCAUUCAGUUGGGCACUCUAGAAAGACUGCCGGUGACAAACCGGAGGAAGGUGUGGACGACGUCAAGUCAUCAUGCCCCUUACGCCUUGGGCUACACACGUACUACAAUGCUGCGGACAAAGAGUAGCGAUCUUGCGAAAGUUAGCUAAUCUCAUAAACCGUGGCUCAGUUCAGAUCGUAGGCUGCAACUCGCCUACGUGAAGGAGGAAUCGCUAGUAAUCGCAGGUCAGCAUACUGCGGUGAAUACGUUCCCGGGCCUUGUACACACCGCCCGUCACACCAUGGAAGUUGGCCAUGCCCGAAGUCGUUACUCUAACCUUUUGGAAGAGGGCGCCGAAGGCAGGGCUAAUGACUGGGGUGAAGUCGUAACAAGGUAACC
rnacentral:rRNA from 1 species